GAGGGCCUACGGGAGGCAGCAGUAGGGAAUCUUCCACAAUGGACGAAAGUCUGAUGGAGCAACGCCGCGUGAGUGAAGAAGGGUUUCGGCUCGUAAAGCUCUGUUGGUAGUGAAGAAAGAUAGAGGCAGUAAUUGGGCUUUAUUUGACGGUAAUUACUUAGAAAGUCACGGCUAACUACGUGCCAGCAGCCGCGGUAAUACGUAGGUGGCAAGGGUUGUCCGGGUUUAUUGGGCGGAAAGCGAGUGCAGGCGGUUCACAA
rnacentral:rRNA from 1 species